GACGAACGCUGGCGGCGUGCUUAACACAUGCCAGUCGAACGGAAAGGCCCUGCUUUUGUGGGGUGCUCGAGUGGCGAACGGGUGAGUAACACGUGAGUAACCUGCCCUUGACUUUGGGAUAACUUCAGGAAACUGGGGCUAAUACCGGAUAGGAGCUCCUGCUGCAUGGUGGGGGUUGGAAAGUUUCGGCGGUUGGGGAUGGACUCGCGGCUUAUCAGCUUGUUGGUGGGGUAGUGGCUUACCAAGGCUUUGACGGGUAGCCGGCCUGAGAGGGGGGCCGGCCACAUUGGUACUGCGAUACGGCCCAGACUCCUACGGGAGGCAGCAGUGGGGAAUAUUGCACAAUGGGCGGAAGCCUGAUGCAGCAACGCCGCGUGCGGGAUGACGGCCUUCGGGUUGUAAACCGCUUUCGCCUGUGACGAAGCGUGAGUGACGGUAAUGGGUAAAGAAGCACCGGCUAACUACGUG
rnacentral:rRNA from 1 species